GAAUAUUGGACAAUGGGCGAAAGCCUGAUCCAGCAACGCCGCGUGAGUGAUGAAGGCCCUAGGGUUGUAAAGCUCUUUUACCCGGGAUGAUAAUGACAGUACCGGGAGAAUAAGCCCCGGCUAUCUCCGUGCCAGCAGCCGCGGCAAUACGGAGGGGGCUAGCGUUGUUGGGAAUUACUGGGCGUAAAGCGCACGUAGGCGGCUUUGUAAGUUAGAGGUGAAAGCCCGGAGCUCAACUCCGGAAUUGCCUUUAAGACUGCAUCGCUUGAAUCAUGGAGAGGUGAGUGGAAUUCCGAGUGUAGAGGUGAAAUUCGUAGAUAUUCGGAAGAACACCAGUGGCGAAGGCGACUCACUGGACAUGUAUUGACGCUGAGGUGCGAAAGCGUGGGGAGCAAACAGG
rnacentral:rRNA from 1 species